rnacentral:rRNA from 1 species
CAGGGUUUGACAUGGACCUGCAGAGCCGUGAAAGCGGUUGGCCUUCGAGGGUGGUCCACAGGUGCUGCAUGGCUGUCGCCAGCUCGUGUCGUGAGAUGUUGGGUUAAGUCCCGCAACGAGCGCAACCCUUGUGUCCAGUUGCGAUUUUCUGGACAGACUGCCGGGAGCAAACCGGAGGAAGGUGGGGAUGAUGUCAAGUCAGCAUGGCCCUUACGCCCUGGGCGAGAAGCACGCUACAAUGGCCGGGACAGAGGGUUGCCAAGCGGUAACGUGGAGCUAAUCCCAGAAACCCGGUCUCAGUUCGGAUCGAGGGCUGCAACUCGCCCUCGUGAAGGUGGAGUCGCUAGUAACCGCAGGUCAGCACUACUGCGGUGAAUAUGUUCCC